rnacentral:rRNA from 1 species
UACGUAGGGGGCAAGCGUUGUCCGGAUUUAUUGGGCGUAAAGAGCGUGUAGGCGGCCAUACAGGUCAGCUGUGAAAACUCGAGGCUCAACCUCGAGACGUCGGUUGAAACCGUAUGGCUAGAUUCCGGAAGAGGAGAGUGGAAUUCCCGGUGUAGCGGUGAAAUGCGCAGAUAUCAGGAGGAACACCGGUGGCGAAGGCGGAUCUCUGGGCCGAUACUGACGCUGAGGAGCGAAAGCGUGGGGAGCGAACAGG